AUUGAACGCUGGCGGAAUGCUUUACACAUGCAAGUCGAACGGUAACAGGUCUUCGGAUGCUGACGAGUGGCGAACGGGUGAGUAAUACAUCGGAACGUGCCUAGUAGUGGGGGAUAACUACUCGAAAGAGUGGCUAAUACCGCAUGAGAUCUACGGAUGAAAGCAGGGGAUCGCAAGACCUUGUGCUACUAGAGCGGCCGAUGGCAGAUUAGGUAGUUGGUGGGAUAAAAGCUUACCAAGCCGACGAUCUGUAGCUGGUCUGAGAGGACGAUCAGCAACACUGGGACUGAGACACGGCCCAGACUCCUACGGGAGGAAGCAGUGGGGAAUUUUGGACAAUGGGCGCAAGCCUGAUCCAGCAAUGCCGCGUGCAGGAUGAAGGCAUUCGGGUUGUAAACUGCUUUUGUACGGAACGAAAAGCCCUGGGUUAAUACCCUGGGGUCAUGACGGUACCGUAAGAAUAAGCACCGGCUAACUACGUGCCAGCCGCCGCGGUAA
rnacentral:rRNA from 1 species